rnacentral:hammerhead_ribozyme from 1 species
GCACUGCUAACGAGUCCAAAACAAGACGAAACAGCUGUCCAGUGC